rnacentral:rRNA from 1 species
CCCGAGUGCCGCCCGUUGAGGGCGGCUUUUCCACGGUGUAAGGAGCCGUGGGAAUAAGGAGAGGGCAGGACUGGUGUCAGCCGCCGCGGUAAUACCAGCUCUCCGAGUGGUGGGGACGAUUAUUGGGCUUAAAGCGUUCGUAGCCGGCUUAACAAGUCUUCCGUUAAAUCCAACGAUCUAAUCGUUGGGCUGCGGGAGAUACUGUUGGGCUAGGAGGCGGGAGAAGCCGACGGUAUUCUCGGGGUAGGGGUGAAACCCUGUAAUCCCGGGAGGACCACCAGUGGCGAAGGCGGUCGGCUAGAACGCGCUCGACGGUGAGGGACGAAAGCUGGGGGAGCGAACCGGAUUAGAAACCCGGGUAGUCCCAGCUGUAAACGAUGCGGGCUAGGUGUUGGGGUGGCCACGAGCCACUUCAGUGCCGCAUGGAAGCAAUUAAGCCCGCCGCCUGGGGAGUACGGCCGCAAGGCUGAAACUUAAAGGAAUU